rnacentral:sRNA from 1 species
ACUACGCCUUGAGAAUGGCGCGCUGGGC